rnacentral:rRNA from 1 species
CUUGAAUAAAUAUAAGAGGUCCAGCCUGCCCAGUGACCAUGUUCAACGGCCGCGGUAUCCUAACCGUGCGAAGGUAGCGUAAUCACUUGUUCUUUAAAUAAGGACUAGUAUGAACGGCACCACGAAGGUUACGCUGUCUCCUUUCUCUAAUCAGUGAAACUAAUCCCCCCGUGAAGAAGCGGGGAUAAACAUAUAAGACGAGAAGACCCUAUGGAGCUUCAAACUUUAAAAGCACUUGCCCUAACAUCAACCUAAUUUCAGAAAACUACUACUACCCAAGCAAGAUGACCCUUAGUUUUAGGUUGGGGUGACCGCGGAGCAAAAAAAAACCUCCACAUUGAAAAGAGCCAACUCUUUAGCCAAGAGCCACACCUCUAAGCACCAACAAAAAGACAUUAAUUGACCCAAUAUUUUGAUCAACGAAC